ensembl:lncRNA
ACAAAGCUUAAGCAACCAAGGGAAUGUUCUCAGCCAGUUGCUCUUACUGCAAUUUGUGGUUACAAAAAAAAAAAAGGAUCGAUUAUUCUAUUAUUUAUUUUUAAAAGUAAUCUCAUAAAAGAUCAAGAGAAUCACAAAUCUAAACUUUUAUAUAAAAAAUCAUUUCUAUUGUGAAUCCUCAGUGUGCACAUCUACUCAUCAAUAAUUUUUUAUUAAUUAUACCAGGAAGCCAAGGGCACAAAUAGGUAAAAGACAUUAAUCAUUGCCUUGAUUGUCAGCCCAGCUUUUUCAAAAGAGGUACGUCAUCUAGUGCUGGUCAGGCUACUGUUGUUCUUGUUCCUUGACCUUAAAACAUCCCCAGCUAAAUAAUUAAGAGUGUGCCUUUCUGGACUUCAAAUUGUUCCCUAAGAUUUUUCUACAUGGAAGCCACACGGAGGCACGCCCAUCAUGAUUGUGCUAAAUGGUGGGCCACAUUCCUUGAGUUCUAAAGCCAGUCCCUGUUCCUCUCACUUGGGCCUUGACAUCAGAAUGUAACUCAUUUCUAGAAUACAUUCUUCCCAUUUACAAUCAGAAUUUCUGAACAAUAACUACUUAAACAUUAUUCUCAAUAUAUUCUUAGAUUGGCUGCAUCAACAAACAGUCAAGUUCCCCAAAUCUACUAAGCCUGCUAGUGUCCCCUGUUCUCACGUUCAAACCCGAAAGCCUUCCGUGUGUGCUUUGACUUCUGCUCUAUUCCAGCCUCCCCGUUCCUGCUCAGCACAGCCUUCCCCAGUCCCUGUGGUUUCAAUCACUCUGCACACCCCUGCUGGAGUCCUCUUCCUAACACAUCCUUUGUAAUACUCUCAGAGAGAGCUAUCUCACAGUUCUUUGCUGCUGCACUGCCAGAUUUUUUACAAGAACACCCUUCAAAUCCAAGAUGGCAGGAAUGCAGGUCAGUGGUCAGGUGCUUAUCUACUGUGGGCAAGGCUGUGUGUUCAAAUCUCUAGCUCCACAGACAAAUAUAAAAACAAUACUACCCAAUUAUGACUAUUUUAAGUAUGUUAUAGAGUGCUCUAUACUAUGCCAGUAAGGGGGAGAUAAUUAUUCAUUUUUUCCUAUCAGUCACUCGUGAGACAUUUUGACAAUAUCUCCCCAUGCCAGGUACUAUACCAAGGAACGAAUACAAAGAGAUGCGACCCUUGCUUUCAGAGUGCUUAUGGGAACGUCAGACAAGUGCAUUGCAAAGGGAAAUUAAUGUCCAGGGGUUCUCGAGACAACCCAAAGAGAAGCUUGAAAGCUAACUGAAUGUUAGUACCCUUCUGGCUUUUGCAAUCCAGUGGUUCUUAGGAGUCACUAAGCUGUGAGUAAGAAACCACUAUUAUUAGUAAGAAAGGCCCCCGGAGAGAUCUGGGAGAGAGAUUGCAGCAGACUGAUGCUUCUUCAUAAGACAGUGCUAGGUCUAAGGACUAGCGUAGUCUCGCCUUUUGAGAACCUUGGCUAAGGAAAGGGCAGAUGGCAGUUAACAGGAUAGGACAAGAGAGAUGAAGUGUGGAAAGAGCUUUAUUUAUAAGAAGGAUUCUUAAACUUCUUUAUAUGCUGGAGGAACAUGGCUAAAUACAUACAAAAGGUUAAGAAUGAGGCCAGGGAGAGGGUGUUUGACAAAGCUAGAUAGUUACGCCAGGCUGUGGUGGCGAACACCUUCGAUCCCAAUACUCAGGAGGCAGAGGCAGGCAGAUUUCUGAGUUCGAGGCCAACCUGGUCUACAGAGUGAGUUCCAGUGCCACCAGGGCUAUAGAGAGAAACCCAGAGAGCUAGUUGAGAAGGGAGGAGAGAGAAUACAGAUAGAGGUGAGGAUCGUGAGGUAAAAAUAACCAUAGACAGAAGGUGACUUUGUGAUCGCAAGAAAAAAGAAAGAGAGAAGAAAAAUAAAAUAACAGGAAGUUGUAGGUGGUGGGAAAGU